rnacentral:rRNA from 1 species
AGUUUGAUCCUGGCUCAGGAUGAACGCUGGCGGCGUGCCUAACACAUGCAAGUCGAGCGGAGUUAUGAGAGAAGCUUGCUUCACUUUUAACUUAGCGGCGGACGGGUGAGUAACACGUGAGUAACCUGCCCUUGAGUGGGGAAUAACACCGAGAAAUCGGUGCUAAUACCGCAUAAUGUCACGAGACCGCAUGAUCAUGUGACCAAAGGAUUUAUUCGCUUGAGGAUGGACUCGCGUCCGAUUAGUUAGUUGGUGGGGUAACGGCCUACCAAGACAUCGAUCGGUAGCCGAACUGAGAGGUUGAUCGGCCACAUUGGGACUGAGACACGGCCCAGACUCCUACGGGAGGCAGCAGUGGGGAAUAUUGGGCAAUGGGCGAAAGCCUGACCCAGCAACGCCGCGUGAAGGAUGAAGGUCUUCGGAUUGUAAACUUCUUUGAUCAGGGACGAACAAAUGACGGUACCUGAAGAACAAGCCACGGCUAACUACGUGCC